rnacentral:rRNA from 1 species
CGGCGGACGGGUGAGUAACGCGUGGGUAACCUGCCCUAAAGCCCGGGAUAACACCGGGAAACUGGUGCUAACACCGGAUACCUUCCGAAGAGGGCAUCCUUUUUGGAAGAAAGGUUAACACUUUAGGAUGGGCCCGCGUCCCAUUAGCUAGUUGGUGAGGUAACGGCUCACCAAGGCAGUGAUGGGUAGCCGGCCUGAGAGGGUGGACGGCCACACUGGGACUGAGACACGGCCCAGACUCCUACGGGAGGCAGCAGUAGGGAAUAUUGCGCAAUGGGCGAAAGCCUGACGCAGCGACGCCGCGUGGGUGAUGAAGGCCUUCGGGUUGUAAAACCCUGUCCUUGGGGAAGAAGAAAGUGACGGUACCCAAGGAGGAAGCCCCGGCUAACUACGUGCCAGCAGCCGCGGUAAAACGUAGGGGGCGAGCGUUGUCCGGAAUUACUGGGCGUA